AGAAGGGAAGCUUAGCUUUGAGGGGAAUGUUGUCUGGCCCGAUGCCCUUAACAAGAUCUAAUCCUUAAUGUAUAUCGAUAUCAUGAAUCAUGUGUUAGGCGUCGGACCAGGCUUCAUUCCCCCCAACUUCUUGUUCCCUUC
rnacentral:miRNA from 1 species